GUCCACGCCGUAACGUUGGGCACUAGGUGUGGGCGCUAUCGACGCGUUCCGUGCCGUAGCUAACGCAUUAAGUGCCCCGCCUGGGGAGUACGGCCGCAAGGCUAAACUCAAAGGAAUUGACGGGGCCCGCACAAGCGGCGGAGCAUGUGGCUUAAUUCGAUGCAACGCGAAGAACCUUACCUGGGUUGAACUAUGCAGGAAAACCAUAGAGAUAUGGUGUCCUUCGGGGCCUGUGAUAGGUGGUGCAUGGCUGUCGU
rnacentral:rRNA from 1 species